rnacentral:rRNA from 1 species
GACGAACGCUGGCGGCGUGCUUAACACAUGCAAGUCGAACGGUGAAGCGCCUUCCUUUUUGGUGGGUGUGGAUGAGUGGCGAACGGGUGAGUAACACGUGAGUAACCUGCCCCCUUCUUCUGGAUAACCGCAUGAAAGUGUGGCUAAUACGGGAUAUUCUGGGUCUGUCGCAUGAUGGGUCUGGGAAAGAUAUUGUUUCGGUGGGGGAUGGGCUCGCGGCCUAUCAGCUUGUUGGUGGGGUGAUGGCCUACCAAGGCGGUGACGGGUAGCCGGCCUGGGAGGGUGGACGGUCACACUGGGACUGAGACACGGCCCAGACUGCUACGGGAGGCAGCAGUGGGGAAUAGUGCACAAUGGGCGCAAGCCUGAUGCAGCGACGCCGCGUGAGGGAUGGAGGCCUUCGGGUUGUGAACCUCUUUCGCCAGUGAAGCAGGCCUGCCUCGUUUGUGGGUGGGUUGACGGUAGCUGGAUAAGAAGCGCCGGCUAACUACGUG